rnacentral:rRNA from 1 species
AACGAACGUUAGCGGCGCGCUUAACACAUGCAAGUCGAACGAGAAAGGGCUUCGGCCCCGGUACAGUGGCGCACGGUGAGUAACACGUGGGUAACCUUCCCUCGAGCGGGGGAUAACGUUCCGAAAGGAACGCUAAUACCGCAUAAGACCACGGCUUCGAGAGGAGUUGAGGUAAAAGUAGGCAUCUGAAUUCACGCUUACACUCGAGGAUGGGCCCGCGGCCCAUCAUGGUAGUUGGUAGGGUAACGGCCUACCAAGCCGAAGACGGGUAGCUGGUCUGCGAGGAUGAUCAGCCACACUGGAAAUGCGACGCGGUCCAGACUCCUACGGGAGGCAGCAGUGGGGAAUCUUGCGCAAUGGGCGAAAGCCUGACGCAGCGACGCCGCGUGGGUGAUGAAGGCCUUCGGGUCGUAAAGCUCUGUGGGGAGAGACGAAUAAAGCAGGAAUAACACUCCUGACGAUGACGGUAUCUCCUUAGCAAGCACCGGCUAACUCUGUGCCAGCCGCCGCGGUAAAAC